GAUGAACGCUGGCGGCGUGCCUAAUACAUGCAAGUCGAGCGAACAUACUAGGAGCUUGCUCCUCUGACGUUAGCGGCGGACGGGUGAGUAACACGUGGAUAACCUACCUAUAAGACUGGGAUAACUUCGGGAAACCGGAGCUAAUACCGGAUAAUAUAUUGAACCGCAUGGUUCAAUAGUGAAAGACGGUUUUGCUGUCACUUAUAGAUGGAUCCGCGCCGCAUUAGCUAGUUGGUAAGGUAACGGCUUACCAAGGCGACGAUGCGUAGCCGACCUGAGAGGGUGAUCGGCCACACUGGAACUGAGACACGGUCCAGACUCCUACGGGAGGCAGCAGUAGGGAAUCUUCCGCAAUGGGCGAAAGCCUGACGGAGCAACGCCGCGUGAGUGAUGAAGGUCUUCGGAUCGUAAAACUCUGUUAUUAGGGAAGAACAAAUGUGUAAGUAACUAUGCACGUCUUGACGGUACCUAAUCAGAAAGCCACGGCUAACUACGUG
rnacentral:rRNA from 1 species